AAAGUCAAAAAAGGACUUAAAACCCUGCUUCCCAUGCGGGUAGCUUAAACUAGACGUGCGAGUUUCGUGCUGGAGGCGCACGGGUGCGUGGGUCACAUGUCUUGGCCGCACAAGGUACAUGGAAUGGACACACAGAUCUCCAUUGCGCGCGCAGACUCCUUGGCGUGCGCCUAGACGAAUAUGUAUAUGCGUUGGGUUGUGCAUGCGUCUAAGCAUUGUUGUGCGCACGCCCCCUAGGUUGCUUUAUGUAGGAAAAGGUCCUGCAUGUGCAGGUGAUCUUUCUCGCAUAUAUGUUGGUUCACACAU
rnacentral:lncRNA from 1 species